AUAACCUUGAGCUUCAGAAUGAUACAGAUGCCUGAAACUCCCUGUCUAACAUGGACGGUCCCAUCGAACAGUCAGAGGGGUGAAAAAAAGGGUACCCUGAAAUAUAUUUAUUUGUUUUUACAGUUUUAAUUCAGGGGCCAUUUCUCCGGUAGCUCCUUGAAUUCAGGGGCUGCACUCUGUCUAGUUCUUAUGCAGCCAUGAGCUUCUCGUCUGAGCAGCGUAUCGACUGAACCGACAGGAAAAGAGAGAGAGAGGAGGGAGAGAAAGGAAAAGAGAGAGAGAGAGAGAGAGAGAGAGGAGGGAGAGAAAGGAAAUAGAGAGAGAAAGGGAGAGGGCUGCUGAAAAAUUCAUGCCUAUGCCAGCUCACUCCAUUCUCAGCUCAGCAGGGGCCCAGCUUUGAUACUUCACACUCAGAGAAAAAAUGCAAAUGAUUCUCGCUUCAUAACAUGGAGGGAAUAUAUCCCCUGAAAACGAUAAAAUCUCCAGCCAAACAAUGAAUAAUAUAGCCACAGUUCAUUCCACUUGAUGGUUACUAGAUUCAGAUUCUAAAAAAAGAUCAGCCAUUAUUUAUCCUAUUUUUAAAACAAAGGUGCAAGAUUCAAGUUUCAAUAAAUUGUUGAAAUAAAAAUGUACAAGGUCAGACAGUAUUAACGAAAGUGGUCAGAUAAAAACGAUUACUCAUUACAGAAACUAAAUGAAAUAUUACACACAAAUACAAAAACCACUCAUAUAGUAACGACCUACAAUAUUUUUUUUAUUGAAACAAAAACCUAAACUAUUUGAAUUAGCUAACAACCUGAAAACAUUGGCAGAGCCAGAGUCCAUAUGCUGGUAUAAUGAAUUAAGAGUGAGGAGAGAAGACUUGUGUUAGUGUGCUAGAGGAGGAUGUAUUGGCUCUGACAGGUAGCGCAGUAGGGUGCCUUGCACUGCAGUAAGACUGUGGAUCUAUUUUUUAACUCAGAUGCUGUUUCAGGAAUGCUGAUUAGAUUUGCUCUGAUUCAACUAUUCAACUACACCCUCCGAAAAUAAGUGGCAACGUAUAGAAGGAAACCCCACCGGCCAAUUAGAGCUAAGCAUCUUGGCCGGCUGACAAGUGACCAGAGUCACAGGAAAGAGUCUGUGCCUAGGCAGCGGGGCGAACCGAUAUGAAUCCACAGUAGGGCGGGGCUAUGAAGAGUGCAGGGGUGAGAGGAUUUCUCUAGGAGGGACUGUGAACAUCCGAGUGGGUCUGAAGGCAGUGAGUACGCUGGUGAUACUUUGGCCUCCAUACCAUGUGGGUGAAAUGGAAAUAAAAAACAAGAAGGCCAUUAUAAACACAACAAGAUCACAAGAACUGGAAGAAAAAAUAAAACACAGCAAAACAAAAGUUUACAUUUAUUAAUUAAAUCUUGUUUUUCAAUAAUAUAUUUUCGGUGUGAAAGAUUCUUUGGUCAUGCAAUCCUAAUCAGUUUGUCACUGGGUUAUUUUAAAUGCUCAUCUUUUCAUUGAUUAGCUGUAUUAAUAAAUGUAUACUACAUUUAAUUGUAGAUGUUAUUAGGCAGGUGGUGUAAAGGUAAGAGUCGUGAUUUUACUCAUCACAAUUAACAGUUAAGCCUCUUUAUUUUCACAUUUACCCUUGGCUUUCCUAUUAGAGGCCUUCAACAAUGAUCUUUGUCCGGAUAUGUGCUGCCAUCUGGUGGUGGAGCCGACAUACCACCACGGGACAACUACAUACGCCGAGGACGUUUGGUAUUGAUUUUCUUUAGAGACUAACUGUAGACAUGGAUGUAGC
ensembl:lncRNA